GGCGAGGGCGCGAAAUUGUACUGAUUUUUUGAAUGGUUUGGCCACCGUUUGCCGAAUGGAAUUUAUUGUUAUUAAUUACAUAUGUAUUGAUGUGUGUGUAUGUGUAAUGGUAAUUUAAUUGCAUUUUUUAAAAUCCCAAAUAUGAAUAAUUGAUUGUUAAUUAAGUUUUGAAGCAAAGAAAACUCUAGAUGUAAACGAACCCCAAUGAAUAUUUACUACACGUUGUGCAAUUUUUGCUUACACUAGGAAUUAGGAAUUUGUUAUUCAACUAAACAAAAUAAUUUUGUUGCAGAAACAGAAACAGAAACAGCAGGCCCCAUCCGUGCACUGACCGCCGGCGCAUGGUGAAAUUGCUCACAAGGUGAAGUCUUCAACACAGAGCACUCUGUAUCUCCAUCCCUUUCUAGCGCUUGUCUUUUUGAGCGUGGUGAAUAAGUUAGUGAGGACAGCGCCCCCUUCUAAGUAAUUUCACCAUGAGCCGGCACGUCUCUAGGUUUCUCAUAGUGUAUGUAUGUAUGUAUUGUAUGUAUGUGUUAGUCGGGACCAUUUCAAAAUUAAACGAAAAAAAAACAAUUAAAUAAUCAAAAAAAAACACUAGAGAGGCACGCCACAAACACACAGCAUAGAGAUUAGUUUUACAUGCGAUUUAUGCAGCAACAAUUUAGAACGAUGAAUUUUGAGGAAUUUUUAACUCUGAAUGUACCCAAAUUAAGCCUGUAGCAAGGACACACACCUACUUAUAGAAAAAAGUCCAUUAAAUGUCUUAUAAAAAAAUACGAGUAUUGGGGAGAUGAACAAAAAUCCACAAAACUAUUGCAGCACAAUGGAAUUUAAAGGAAUGCUAACGUUGGUGGUUCCAUCAAAAAAUAUCAAUUGGCACGCGGCCCAAAUUGUAGAAUGGACACCAGUAAAGUAGCGGUACAUUGAGGAGAAAAUACACAUACAUAUACAUAGGCAUGUACAUAAUAAAUGUAUUUAUGUACGUGCGCAGACACUAAAUUUAAUACACAAAACACAUCUUAGAGCAAAUAUUUAGAUGUAAUUUGAAUUUUUGUCCAAAAAUCUGAAUAUAUUCCCCGCUCAAUGCCACACAAAAGGGUCAAUUCGAGCCGUAAACUAAACCCAAAUUCGAACGGAUUGUACAGGUACACAUACAUAUGUACUUACAUGGAUAGAGUGCAGUGGGAGGUGUUAAUGAUGAAAAUGAGUCGGAUAUGUAUUCCAUUUUACUCGUACCAAUAUUAUAAAUGUG
rnacentral:lncRNA from 1 species